rnacentral:misc_RNA from 1 species
AGGUGGAGCAGACCAAAAGGAAAGUGGAUGAGGACUUCCAAACUGAGAGUCUAUGAGAAGACAAAUUGGCUAAAGUCUUCCACUCCACAAAGGGACAUAAAACAGAGCUCAGCAAACAAAAAUUAAUAUACCACUAUCUUAGAAUCCAAGUCCAAACUUUCCAAGAACAGGGGCAGUGUAGGUAUUAUUUCUUACCUUUGAUUUCCUCCAUGGCAAAAGGUAAUUCUCCAAGAGACGAAGCCAUAUAGAGACCCAGCACAUCUUCCUCUCCUAAAGAGAGCCUAGCACCAAUGCAUACCAUUCUCAUCCAAUAGUACCUAAGUCUUAUGCACGUGAUUUCUUGUAAUCU